AGGCUCCACAUAGCGAGGGCUCAACUUUUCUCUUUUCUCGAAUUUUCCUUGUGAAAAAAACCUUAAGGAAGACUUGGUCUCUAAUGGCAAAUUCCAAGGGUCUCCUAUGAUUAUUAGUGUAACUCUUCUGGCAACUCUGGGUAGUAGCCAAGUUCUUACGGAUGAUCGUGACCUUCUCAAUAGUCUCCUGGAUGAAGUCUGGUCCCAAAUGGCUGGUUUUCGACUUCACUCCAACAAAUGGGAGAAUAGUAGGAUCUACCAUACAAGGCUUCAUACGGAGCCAUACC
rnacentral:lncRNA from 1 species